rnacentral:tRNA from 1 species
ACUGAGGUGGCAGAAUAGUGCAAUAGAUUUAAGCUCUAUAUAUAAAUUAACGUUUUCUCAGUA